UCCACGAAAUUGAAUAUAUCCGAGCCGACGAGAUUGGCCAAUUCUGAAGAGUACUCCUUCGACGACGCUAGCGAGUUCUCCGGCGAAAUUUGACGGCGUUGACGAAUUCUCUGGCUAGUUCUCCGGCGAGAUUUGACGAGGACUACAACCUCAAAUGGUUUUCCGAGUCUAUCACCGUCGUCGAUCAAUCCGUUCAUGAGCUAUGCAGUUUAGUAUCAGACUCCGUUCUGGACCUCUCCCGCGGUUUGCUCGAGCUUCAAUCCGCACUCGAAGGGUUUUUGAUUAUUAUCGGUUACGAACAGAAACAUGGGGAUUGGAAGUUCAAUUCGACCGACAAUCAUCCGUUUGUGAGGAUGCUUUCAUGCAGAGUGGAGACGCAGACGGAGCUUCUUCACCAAGUAUCACUCUUUGUGAUGCGUACUCUGCGAUUGGGGAUGGUGGGAGUAUGUGAAUUUUUGGAGCCGUUCGUGAAUUUUGUAAUAUUAUGUAUCCCAUUUGCAGAUUCAUCCCCGUCUUUGUUUGUGAGGGAGUUAGUCUCAUCAAUGGCUUCCCUUUGUUGCUCAUGCCGUCAUGAAGCCCUGCCGGUAUUCAGAUUGCUUAUGCGGUGUCUUAAGUAUGUCCUAGGGAAGAACUCGGAACUGCAUUGUCAAGACACUAGUGGAUGCUUACAUUGUGGUUGCGAGAGACUUGGUUGGAACUAGAUUGGAAGUAAUAGAAGUGCAUGUGCUUGGUGUUCAACUGGGCUAGCUGUGUGAUGUUGAACAAAGGCAAGCAUACAGUUGAAGUUGUUUCUAUGUUGGUCACUAUCCUUCAGUACCAAGCUUAUCUAUAAGAAACCGUACUCUAAGAAACUACAUUACUGAUGAUGCUUAUCACUGGAAAGAGAAUUUGUAGUUUGCUUGGUCCGUCCAUGAACUGGGUGCGUCCGGUUUUGUCCUAGUUGAACAAUGUGUCUUCUGUAGCUGUCAAACUCAAGGUUUAGGCCUAUUCAUAGUGCCAGUUAUGCACUGGAAUAUGUGGCAUUGGAAUAUUUAGUAGUUAUUGUAUUCAUAUGCUUCUUUAUGAAAGAGUUUUUUGGUGCGUAAUCUAAUAUAUUUUUAGGUUAUGAACCAAUCAUUUUGAUUAUCAGAGAUAUAAUAACG